rnacentral:rRNA from 1 species
GACGAACGCUGGCGGCGUGCUUAACACAUGCAAGUCGAACGAAGUGGCGAACGGGGGAGUAAUACGUGGGUAACCUGCCCUCCUUUUUGGGGUAAGACUUGGAAACGGGGUCUAAUACCGAAUAACGGGGUAUGGGCUCGCGGCCUAUCAGCGUGUUGGUGGGGUGAUGGCCUACGAAGGCGGGGCCGGGUAGCCGGCCUGAGAGGGGGAGCGGCCACAUGGGGACGGACAUACUGCCCAGAGUGCCACGGGAGGGAGAAGUGGGGGAAAUGGCACAAGGGGCGAAAGCCUGAUGCAGCGACGCCGCGUGGGGGAUGAAGGCUUUCGGGUUGUAAACCUGUUUCGCUAGGGAACGGGUAGGUGAAGAAGAAGCGCCGGCUAACUACGUGCCAGCAGCCGCGGUCAUAC